GACGGAGGGGGCUAGCGUUGUUCGGAAUUACUGGGCGUAAAGCGCGCGUAGGCGGCGCAUUAAGUCAGAGGUGAAAGCCCGGGGCUCAACCCCGGAAUUGCCUUUGAGACUGGUGUGCUUGAGUACGGAAGAGGUGAGUGGAAUUCCCAGUGUAGAGGUGAAAUUCGUAGAUAUUCGGAGGAACACCAGUGGCGAAGGCGGCUCACUGGCUCGAUACUGACGCUGAGGUGCGAAAGUGUGGGGAGCAAACAGGAUUAGAUACCCGCGUAGUCC
rnacentral:rRNA from 1 species